UUNAGUGCCCNGCNGACGCGGUUAGACUUAGGGGCGCAAUCCUUUAUGAUCAACGGGUCGUACAGGGUAGUGUAGGCCGACCGCCCCACCCCCCCUAAUGUGGUAAAUGGAAUUUUUCUGUAGCGGUAGAAUGUGCGGAUAGAAAAUAGAACCCCAAAAGCUGAAGCAAUUUACCGCGGGGCGGGAGGGGGGGCCCCCUGGGGCGCCCCCCCGGGCUACGGUGCUGAAACACGAGGGUGUGGGGAACAAACAGGAUUAGAGACCCUGGUAGUCCACCCUGUAAACGAUGGAGAAAAUGCGAAUGCAGCCCCGAAAGGCAGCGUUCUCCCGCCUGAGUAGUACGAUCGUAAGAUUAAAAUUCCAAAAUUUUGGCUGUUCACCGUUUCGAUUAGAGGAGCGUGUAGUUUAAUUCGUUAAACCGCGGGAUACCUUACCCAUUCUUGAAUCCUUGAGGAUUCCCAGGAUUCCUUAUGGACCGGUANUUGCAUGGCCGUCUAGUCAGUUCUUGUUUGAAACCUUAAACGGACCCAACCCGAGGAUUAGCCGCGGANGAAGUCAANNGNGGCCUCNNAUGGUCCCCACUGUUUGGGAGAUAAUAUUCNGCUUUUUUUUUUUAUUUUUUGGUCAACCUGGGAGGUGAAACCCAAAAAUGAGAGUUCUACUACGUCUAUUGGAAGAUGGGCNGNACAGUUCUAUUUAANUAUUUANUCCCAGAUUAUUCNCUUUCCGGUUGCAUGCCUCUNUGUGUUAGCACAAAUCGCCCAAAUAAAA
rnacentral:rRNA from 1 species